rnacentral:lncRNA from 1 species
GGCUAAUGGUGGGUACUUCCUCCUUUUAAUAGUUGAAAGUUCAAAUUGUUGUGUCCCUUUAAUGUGGGGUUCCUACAUAGAAAACUUGAACAAACUAGAAAAUAGCUAGAAAAACAAAUCUAAUUUUACCCCUAUUCCUAAAAACAAAUUAAAACCAUUCAAAAAUUCUAUUACAAUUCAAUCAUCCUCCUCCAUUUCACCACCUCCUUCCCCCUCUCUUCUAUCACCUUUU